GUGAGUAUGGUCAAGCACUGGAAGAAAUUGCCCAGAGUGAUUGUGAAGCCUCCAUACUUGGUGGUAUUCAAAACUUGUUUGGAUAUUGUACUAAGCAAUCUGUUAUAGCUGUCGUUUCUCUGAGCCAAGGCACUUGACUAGAAGUCUCCAGCCCAGACCACGAGUCGUGUCUGUGAGGAUGUGACCAGGACAAGGUCAGGACAAGACAUCAGCCCAUGGUUAGGGAUCAGGGUCAGGUUUGGUGAAGGGAAGCAGAGUCAAUCAAAAAAAUGGAAGGACAGGCAGGUCUUCAGGGUUGAGCAGAGGUGGUGUUGGGAUGUGGGAAUGUGAGUGGGCCUAGCUUGGCAAGGCCCAUUUCUUGGCACCGGGAACUAGAGUCCGGCCCUGCUGCAGCAUCACCGGGGCAGUGGCAGAGGGUCCUGGGCACUAAAAUGGUGUCCUGAGCCAUGGGCAGGAUGGGGAAGGCCCUCAGACAUUAAAGUCCAUAAUUGAACUCACGUUCCUUUCAGAUGUUCAUAGCAACUGAGGUGUACGUGCACAGAUUAUCAGAGAAACCAAAUUUGUCUCAUGUGCAAGUAAUAUCAUUAGAAAUAUUAAAGGCAGAUUCAUCAAUAUUUGGGACUUCAUAAGUGAAACCAAAAAAGAACAAGUUAGAGCAUGGAGACAAACAGUUCUACUGUAAUUCAAUCUUAAUAAGAAAUUGUCAAUUCCUAAUAAAGUCUUUUCCAGUCUA